rnacentral:rRNA from 1 species
GUCGCACCUACCGAUUGAAUGGUCCGGUGAGGACUCGGGAUUGUGGUUUGGCUCCUUCAUUGGGGAUUGGUCGCGAGAACUUGUCUAAACCUUAUCAUUUAGAGGAAGGUG